UACCAGCUCUCCGAGUGGUGUGGAUGUUUAUUGGGCCUAAAGCAUCCGUAGCUGGCUGGACAAGUCCCCUGUUAAAUCCACCGAUUUAAUCGUUGGUGUGCGGGGGAUACUGUUCGGCUAGGGGACGGGAGAGGCAGACGGUAUUUUCGGGGUAGGGGUGAAAUCCUAUAAUCCCGGGAAGACCACCAGUGGCGAAGGCUGUCUGCUAGAACGCGCCCGACGGUGAGGGAUGAAAGCUGGGGGAGCGAACCGGAUUAGAUACCCGGGUAGUCCCAGCUGUAAACGAUGCAGGCUAGGUGUUUGGACGGCCACGUGCCGUUCUAGUGCCGCAGGGAAGCCGUUAAGCCUGCCGCCUGGGGAGUACGGCCGCAAGGCCGAAACUUAAAGGAAUUGGCGGGGGAGCACCACAAGGGGUGAAGCUUGCGGUUU
rnacentral:rRNA from 1 species